GCCCUUCGGGGUACUCGAGUGGCGAACGGGUGAGUAACACGUGGGUGAUCUGCCCUGCACUUUGGGAUAAGCCUGGGAAACUGGGUCUAAUACCGAAUAUGACCACGCGCUUCAUGGUGUGUGGUGGAAAGCUUUUGCGGUGUGGGAUGGGCCCGCGGCCUAUCAGCUUGUUGGUGGGGUAAUGGCCUACCAAGGCGACGACGGGUAGCCGGCCUGAGAGGGUGACCGGCCACACUGGGACUGAGAUACGGCCCAGACUCCUACGGGAGGCAGCAGUGGGGAAUAUUGCACAAUGGGCGCAAGCCUGAUGCAGCGACGCCGCGUGAGGGAUGACGGCCUUCGGGUUGUAAACCUCUUUCAAUAGGGACGAAGCGCAAGUGACGGUACCUAUAGAAGAAGGACCGGCCAACUACGUGCCAGCAGCCGCGGUAAUACGUAGGGUCCGAGCGUUGUCCGGAAUUACUGGGCGUAAAGAGCUCGUAGGUGGUUUGUCGCGUUGUUCGUGAAAACUCACAGCUUAACUGUGGGCGUGCGGGCGAUACGGGCAGACUAGAGUACUGCAGGGGAGACUGGAAUUCCUGGUGUAGCGGUGGAAUGCGCAGAUAUCAGGAGGAACACCGGUGGCGAAGGCGGGUCUCUGGGCAGUAACUGACGCUGAGGAGCGAAAGCGUGGGGAGCGAACAGGAUUA
rnacentral:rRNA from 1 species